ensembl:lncRNA
CGCGUCUUUAGUGAGCCUGGUGGAAAUGCUGAGGUGAAAUGAGAGAGGAAGGGAGGCUAACCUGUCGGACAUACCCAGGAAUCAGGGGCACCGGAAUGAGAGACAUAAAGUCGUCACCGCAUAAGCAUCAGCGUUACCAGCAAACUUCAGGUUAGUUCAGAUCACACCCCGCGAGCGCCUGCCUGCUCUGGGAACCCGACCGGCUGGUGCGAGCUUCUGUCCUCACCACCACUGGCGCCAAACCUAGCCCAUACCAACGGGGAGGCAGGUCCUAACCCUCUUCUAGUCUGGGAUGUUGGGACUUCCCGACGCCCAAGGCUCCUCUUUCAUUAACGCUGUGCGAGGUGGAUUCCAGGCAGGGAAUCGCUUCCGCUGAUUUGCGUUGCAGGUUGGGGGCGCGAAGAAUGAUGUGGAAAAGCCGCCUCUGUAUCCCCUCGCCGUGAUGUUGCUAAGCCUUUGGGCUCAUACUCUGCUUUGAGUUUUAGCCGACUCAGGGGCUAUUUCUUCCUAGAUUUAACCAGCGCAACAGGUUUUCUUUUUCUCCUUACAUUUCGACCUCAGUUGCUCAGUCACAGUGUUUUUGCCAAGUCUUGAAACUGUUUUUGUCUAUCUUGCUUAGAAAAUCUUAAUCUAAUUUUUAAAAGAAGGAGAAAAAGGAAGAGAGAUCAAAGAAAGAAGGAUUUAUUCUAUCAUCUAAACAAAGAAGAAAAGGACGGAGAAGAGGAGUGAAGAGUGAAAUGGUGGGGAGAGGAUGAAGAAAGACUGCAUUUCUACUGACGUAAAAUCAACUCUAAGAAACCUAUGGUUUAAUGGAGUGGAGUCUAUUAAGUCGAGUUUUGGAUCGAACCCUGGUCUCCCGCGUGACAAGCAGAGAUACGCACUACCACACUAACAAGGAAAAGGACAAGAAUGCUGUUCUAAGGAAUCCUCAUAAAGCUACUCAAUGUUGUCCUUAUUCCUUUGCUCCGCAGGCUACGCUUCCCCCAUCAGCCUUACACAACACGAUUCAGCGUCCGGGCCGAACGUGUGCACGUGUAGCCUUGAGUCCACUCCAGUCCCUCCCUCACUUCCGGGAACAGGCAGCGCGGUGGGACUGCGGGAGAUGGCGCUAAGUGAGAGACUUAAAAGACAAAAGGGAAAGAUAAAAAGUGCCCUCUCUAGUUUACUUUGUUGAUGCACUGGUUUCUGUCUUCACUCACAAUCUUUAUCUGAAUCCUAGCGAACACAGCAGGGAGUCGUUAAACCCUAAAAGAGGCGUAAGUUGAUUCUACUGAGGGUUUAAGAAGCAGGGUUUCGAAGGCAGGCAAUGCGGAGGCGAAGGAAAAGAAGACUGUAGGGGAACCUAAGAAGGAAAGAAAAGUCUGUUCCCUGCGUGUCACGCAGAAGCCACAUGAUGAGUUUGCUUGGAACAGAGAAAAAGCACCCCGUAGUCGGCAGGAUUCGAACCUGCGCGGGGAAACCCCAAUGGAUUUCUAGUCCAUCGCCUUAACCACUCGGCCACGACUACCUGAACAACUGGCUCCCUAUGUCAAUCCUUAAAAAGAAAUUCCUUCAGAAUUCAGACCUACCACAAGAGCGAAAGGGAAAACAAGUCAGGAUAAAAAUGGCCCCUGGCACAAGAAAACAUACUCUAU